rnacentral:rRNA from 1 species
AUGGCGGCGCUGGUCACCGCCGUGCUGUGCCUGACGGCGAGCCGCGCGCUGGGGCAGUUGCAGGUGGGGUUUUACAGCACCACCUGCCCCAACGCCGAGGCCAUCGUCCGGCGCGCCGUCACGGCGGCCUUCGCGACGACCGACCCCGGCGUGGCCGCCGGGCUCAUCCGGCUCCACUUCCACGACUGCUUUGUCGAGGGUUGUGACGCGUCGGUGCUUCUGUCUGUCAACCCUAGCGGUGGUCGAACGGAGCGAGAUGCACCGCCGAACAACCCGAGCCUCCAUGGCUUUGAGGUUGUCGACGCAGCCAGGGCCGCACUAGAACAGAGCUGCCCGACCGUGUCAUGCGCCGACAUCCUUGCCUUCGCUGCCCGGGACAGCAUCAACCUCACCGGCGGCAAUGCAUUGUACCAGGUCCCUGCUGGCCUCCGCGACGGGAACAUCUCAACUGCGGAUAGCGUGUUUGGCCUCCCUAGUCCAAACUUGACAGCGGAUGGGCUCAUACAAAGUUUCAAGGACAAGACCCUAACUGCCGAGGAGAUGGUGAUACUAUCCGGCGCCCACACCUUGGGCCGCUCCCAUUGUGACUCCUUCAUCUUCAGGAACCAUGAGAGGCUGGCGAGCGGUACCAUCAGCCCGACAUACCAACCGCUGCCGGAGGCGUUGUGCCCGACGAACACGAUCCAAGUGGCCAACGUGAUGACAAUGAUCGACCUCAGCACGCCGACAGUGCUGGACAACAACUACUACAAGCUGUUGCAGUUUAACCUUGGCCUGCACUUCUCCGACGACCAGCUCGUCCGCAACGCCACGCUCAAGGCCUCCGUCGAUGCCUUCGCCGCCAAUGAGACUACUUUUUUUUGAAACUAUGAUGAUUUUUAUAGCAAAAUGGGCAACAUUGAGCCGAAAACCGGCGCCCAGGGAGAGAUCCGCCUCAAUUGCAGCGUCAUCAUUGUUCGCCUCGGCAAGGGCGAUCGAGAUGCUUCACUCGGGCUCCAACAACAAUGCCCCCGAUGGCGAUGA